CGGACGGGUGAGUAACGCGUGAGUAAUCUACCUUUGAGUGGGGAAUAACGUUCGGAAACGAACGCUAAUACCGCAUAAUGCAGCGGCACCGCAAGGUGACAGUUGUUAAAGCGAGCAAUCGCGCUUAAAGAGGAGCCUGCGGCAGAUUAGCUAGUUGGUAAGGUAAUGGCUUACCAAGGCGACGAUCUGUAACCGACCUGAGAGGGUGGUCGGUCACACUGACACUGAAUAACGGGUCAGACUCCUACGGGAGGCAGCAGUCGGGAAUUUUGGGCAAUGGGCGAAAGCCUGACCCAGCAACGCCGCGUGAAGGAUGAAGUAUUUCGGUAUGUAAACUUCGAAAGAAUGGGAAGAAUAAAUGACGGUACCAUUUAUAAGGUCCGGCUAACUACGUGCCAGCAGCCGCGGUAAUACGUAGGGACCAAGCGUUGUUCGGAUUUACUGGGCGUAAAGGGCGCGUAGGCGGCGUGUUAAGUCAGCUGUGAAAUCUCCGAGCUUAACUCGGAACGGUCAGCUGAUACUGAUGUGCUAGAGUGCAGAAGGGGCAAUCGGAAUUCUUGGUGUAGCGGUGAAAUGCGUAGAUAUCAAGAGGAACACCUGAGGUGAAGACGGGUUGCUGGGCUGACACUGACGCUGAGGCGCGAAAGCUAGGGUAGCAAAUGGGAUUAGAUACCCCAGUAGUC
rnacentral:rRNA from 1 species